CAUAGUCCGUCCUUGCAUGGCUCACCCCUUGCACAGAUUCAGGACAGCAGGGAGGGGGUUGGGUGUGAGUUAUUUUCCAUACUCUCAGACACAAGACUUUACAUGGGGCGGUUAAGGAGAAGACAAAUGAUAAGGACAAAUAUAAACGAUAAGGAGUCUGGUCAGCAGCAACUUUGCAAAGACUUCCCCCUACGAGUUAGCGCCGUAGAACAGGAGCGCACGGGGUGUACUGGUGCUUCGCCAGAGCCUUCGCUACACGUGCGCAAAGUUAAGCAACCGCGCGUCGGAGUGAAAAACAAACCCAGUUCCCCAUCCCCACCAAAUGCUAUUGGGGGAGCUGCAAUGGGAUUGCAAUUAGUGGCAAUCCGGCUCCCGCUGCUACGGUUACGGUCGGGGCUACAUUUCCACAGGCUGUAAAAGAACAACGACGACGCAGGGAAAGAAAGAAAGAAAGAAAGAAACCAACAAACGACGCCCCAACCAAACAAGACACCCAUUCAAUCAGAAGGACAAUCGGCACAGUAAACCCCCAGGUUGCUUCCCUCCCCCACUAAAAAGCGAACCCGCCCUUUCCCCUUUGCUCCGUGCCCGCUCGGAAGGCCCCGCACGCCUGACUGGCAGCCCCUGACGCGGACUCUUCACACCGGCGGGGAGCUGCGUCGGAGCGCGCCACGUUUGCCCGGGAGGCUGCAGCGCGGGCGGGCGGGGGGGGGGGGACCAUUCCCAGGACAUCGAGCCUAGAGCAUCAUCGGGUGCGCCCGAUUUGUAAACGAAUCGCAAAGGCACUUUGAUUCCUUCUUUCCUUAGCCGUCCGUCACCCCAGGGCCGGCUGGGCACACGCAGAGAAGUGAAUCCUUAGGGCGGCUUCACUAGUUCCUCUUUCUGAGAAGCAAGACUUCUUCUAGGGGAGAACAGGGCUCAAUCUGAUCCCUGUUGAUCACAGCAGUAAUUGAGGUAAAGGCCCAGAUUGUUGUGAGAGAUUGCCAGAAUAGUAAGGAUAAAGGUCAUCAUCACCUUCAGAUAAUUGAAACAACUCUAUGCAUCUGGCAUUGGUCACUGUCGGAGACAGGAUACUGGACUAAAUGAAAUAUUGGUCUGUUCCAGUGUUGCAAUUCCUAUGUUCCUGUCUCCCUGGUGGGCUAGCAUCCUGUGAUAUCCUUCCAGCUGGUAAUAUGCCCAGGACAAAGUUUUAGCACCAUCAACCUCCCGAGCUGCCUGCGAUCUCAACGUAGUAUUACCAAAAUUAAGCUGUUUGAAUGCAACAAGUGUUUUGGAAUGUGCUGUGUGUCUCUGUGAGGGUGCCAGAGUGUAUGAGAAAUGGGGAGGGGAUUUUUCAGAACUUUGCAAGUGACACAUGGAAAUCCCACCCCCAUGCUUCUCAGGGAAACAUAAAUGAACAUUGAAACCAUGUAGGACAUGUUUACAUUAACCAUCCACAUUUAAGUUAACUUCAGAAAAACUCUAGGGAUUCAGUUCCUUUGGUACAAAUGCAGCUGUUAUCCCUUAACCCACCACCCAGUACACUUAGUGAGAAAGCUAGAGGCAGAAGCCAAACACAAUAGGAAUCAGAGUAAAACUUGUUCCUGGAGUUGUUUGAUUUCAUUUUUAAUCGGAUGGCUUCAAUUUCUCAGGUUAGUUUCAGAGACUGCCCUUGUUCUAUCUGCUCACACCAGACACACAAAGAGUUUCAGGCCAUUCAUUCAUGGUGCAGGUUCCCUACAGUCUGCAGCAAGAAUGUUUACUCCUAGUUCCGGUUAGUUGCCAAUCAGAGUAUUAGCCAAUUGCUGGCUAUGUCCUUAUAGGGAGGUUAUGUGUUUUGUGGGCUAAAAUGAGCAUAUAAAUUCAGUCAGGCAAAUCAGCAAACUCCUGAUCUUAUUUACACCUGACAGAAUUUGAGAAUGUUCUGGUACGACAAAUUAAGUCUUGGGGCUCUGGUCCUUACCCCAAAGACCUGUGUGUUUGUGGAGGAGUGGAAGGGGAAAGCAGAGUUUCUUGAAUAUUUAGCAUUUGUUAAGCACAAGCAUGUUAGUGUGGUGGGUGUGUUAAUAAGAAAAAUGACGAUGGCAGUUUUAUUAGUGCAUAUAUGCCCUGGAAAUAGUUUAUAGAUUCUUCUUUCACUGGCUUCUUUGAGAUUCUCUCCUGAUUUAUGAUGGUAGGGUAAAAUAUGUAUCAUUUGGCUAUGAGAUGACUCUGUGGGGGGCUGUGAUAACAGUCUAAAAUAUUUCAAGGGUGUAAGCACUGAGAUGAAGGGGGAUUGUUUAGUGAAGCACAAGGGUGAAUAAGGAAGAGACAAAAGAGGAGAUAUAGGAAAAGAAAAUGUAGCUUAUCAGGAAAAGUGUCACAUUGGUAGAUCUAUUAGGCUGUUGACUGGUCCCCUAAGGGAAAUAGUGGGAGUGAGAUAUUUAAAAAUAGAUGUGGGCAAAGAACUAGAAAAUGUGUAAUCAGAAACAAUCCUGCACAAUCAGAAUCAAUCAGCUUUAUUCUGUAUUUCUUUUCUUCUCUUUCUAACCUCUGUGAUUCUCUUCCCCCAAUUUAUUUUUCUUCUCUAAUCCCUGAUAUUUGUAGGCAUUGCCAUACUUGAUCAGAUAUAUGGUCUAUCAAGCCCAGUAUCUCUCUCCCCCUUUGCCCUGUCUGUCUUCUCCUUGUUCUCUGUCCUCCCUCUAGCCUUUUCUCUCCCUGCUACUUGCUGCUCCAUGGUUAUCCUUCUACCCUUCUACACUGUCCUGUUUCCUUGGUUCACUCUUCCCCUCCAAUUGUUUUGGCCUUUACCAGUUUUCUGUUGUGUAGCAUUGCUGGUUCCUGUGUGAUAGCACCAUUAACAGUAGUACUUUGCUUUAGGAUGUAUGGGUGAAAAAUGCUCUUGGCAAAAGAGGGUAAGGGUCAUUAUCCCUAUUUUGACACAUGGGGAAACUGAGGCACAGAGCUGCAAAGGGAUUUGCCCAAAAUCACAGAAGGAGGUCAAUGGAGGAGCGGGGGAUGGAAUUACUCAGGUCACCUGAGUUCCAGGCCAAUACCGCCUCCACUGGACUAUGCUGCUUGUACUACUGUGACCUAUCUGAGUUGCACCUUAGUCCUGAAGCAUACGGGUCGAGUGAGGAGGGCGUUAUCAUGAGAGAACUCCCCAUGUAUUGGGCAGAGCAAGGGAAAGGUGUUGUCAUGUUUCAGGCCAUUUAAAGAUAGUACUUAAGGACUUGGGGAAAUGAUGGGUGGGGGAAACCUAGAGAGCUUUCCUCCCAUACCCCUCAUAAUAAAUGCAUACAUUAUUGUUACCAUUUCUUUUAACAAAUAAACAAGGCAGCUGUAGCCUUAUUUACCAAGUAAGGAAAUCUGUAUAAAACAUUCCCCAGAUUUGAAGUAAUCAUGUUUUUCAAGAGAAUAUAUUAAAAAAAAAAUUGGCACAUAGUGUCUUCUCCUAAGUCCAGGAAGGCACACACAUUUAUUUCCCAGUAGCAGCACACUGCGUACUGACUGUAACUAGGUGAGAAUACUAAACAGACCCAGUUUCCCUACUAGCUUCUAAAAAGCAGGGAUAAAUUCCUGUGCAGAGAAAAGACAGAUGGGGUGGGAAUUGCUAAAAACCUGGCUUCCCUGUAUCAGAAAACUAUGCAAAUCCAAAGGCUCAGAGCAUGGACGAUUGUUAAUGAAUUAUUAAUAUUAUUGAGGUGUUGUCAUUCUUUGUCAGUAGUACAGAGGGCUGGCAGAAAUCUUCUCCAUAUUGGGAGGUACAGUAUUUCUACGAAGGUAGCAAUCUAUCCUUCAUCUGAUGAAUAAUGCACAUUUUCUCCUGCCAGGUGGGGGAGUCAGGCCAUUGGUGGUGGUGGUGGGGAGACAGAGGAAUGAGCUGAGAGUGGUUGAUUGAGAGCUAGCCUAUUGCGCAGGGGUAAUUCAUAAAGAGAGUUACACAUUCUGUACAAGGUCAGAAUAGACUAUGUUGUCUACAGAGAAAUCAAAAGCUUCCAUUCGGGGUUUGGAAAUCAAACCAUUGCAAGGAAGCAUCUAACAACAAUGAAGAAUUGCAACGGUUCUCAUUUUAUUUCACUAACAGUACAUCUGGAUGGCACCUUGCAUGGCACAGGGUGCCAAUGAGCCUUAUAGACAGAUGGGGCCUGAUUAGCCAUGUUUGUCCUCUGAUCCAGCGGCCAUUCGAUCCAAGGCCUGUCUCCUUGCCCAAAUUAGAGCAGCUGGAGAUUGCUGUAACUUGUGCAAUCAAUGGCAGCUAGGGAUCAGAGGAGUACAGGGAUGCCCCGACCAUGACCUCUUUCCCCAGCCAUGACCUCUGAGCCAUCCACAGGAAGGACAGUAGAUAGGACCUAUCAUGGUGGCUCUGUACCCAAUAUGGUUUCCCCUACCCUCCUAAACUGGGACUGGAGAGUGGCAUCUGGCCCACAGAGUUUCACACCCACUUUGUAGUGGUGUGAACAAGUUGCUCACAAGGUGCAGGGCAAUGGAGAAUCAAGCCCAGCGCACAGAGUGAAACGCGUCUUUGAUUCAGAGGAAUAGCAAAAAUUGGCUGCCAGUGGAGCUGGAUCUUUAAUUAAAAGGAUGAAUGAAAGGCUUUAAAGUGGAUGGGAUGCUUUAAAGUGAUUGGUGUGUACCUAUAAUAGUUGCCCAUUAUUGCAGGUUUCAUGUAUAUUAUAGGUUGGGUUGGUAGCAUCACCUAUUAUUAAAGUUGC